rnacentral:rRNA from 1 species
UCAGACGAUGCGUCAUGCAUAUCAAUAAGCGGAGGAAAAGAAACUAACAAGGAUUCCCCUAGUAACGGCGAGUGAAGCGGGAAGAGCUCAAAUUUGAAAUCUUAAAGGGUUUCCCUUUACGAAUUGUAGUUUAAAGAAGUGUUUUCUGUUGAGGUUUUGGUAAAAGUUCUUUGGAAUAGGACAUCAUAGAGGGUGAGAAUCCCGUAUUUGACCUUUACUUUCAACUUUGUGAUACACUUUCAAAGAGUCGGAUUGUUUGGGAAUGCAGUCCAAAAUGGGUGGUAAAUUUCAUCUAAAGCUAAAUAUUGGCGAGAGACCGAUAGCGAACAAGUACCGUGAGGGAAAGAUGAAAAGAACUUUGAAAAGAGAGUUAAACAGUACGUGAAAUUGUCAAAAGGGAAGCGUUUGACACCAGUGUUGUUUUUCUGAAAAUCAAUUAAAGAACUGUUUAUGCUAAGUUGUUUAGACUUUAUCAGCUAACUGUUUAGUUUUGAGCUUUUCUUUAAUGCACUUUUCAGUUAACAAGUCAACAUCAAUUUCUUUUGCUGUAAAAAAGCUUGAGGAAGGUGGCUUGAGAUUCGUCUUAAGUGUUUAUAGCCUCUUGCCUAUGCAGUCGGAGAGAUUGAGGUCUGCAGCGUAGAUCCUUCGGGGCUAAAUGCAUUUGCGCUAAGUUAUAGCAUUUUAUAGACAACUUGUUGACUAUGAUUUGUCUUGUAGCUUACUCGCUUAUGUUAUUUUACCUACGCUUAGGAUGUUGAAUCUGUGCGAGACUAC